GGGGAAUUUUCCGCAAUGGGCGAAAGCCUGACGGAGCAAUACCGCGUGAGGGAGGAAGGCUCUUGGGUCGUAAACCUCUUUUCUCAGGGAAGAACACAAUGCCGGUACCUGAGGAAUAAGCAUCGGCUAACUCCGUGCCAGCAGCCGCGGUAAUACGGAGGAUGCAAGCGUUAUCCGGAAUGAUUGGGCGUAAAGCGUCCGCAGGUGGCAAUGUAAGUCUGCUGUUAAAGAGUGAGGCUCAACCUCAUAAGANNAGUGGAAACUACAUANNNAGGGUACGUUCGGNGCAGAGGGAAUUCCUGGUGUAGCGGUGAAAUGCGUAGAGAUCAGGAAGAACACCGGUGGCGAAGGCGCUCUGCUAGGCCGUAACUGACACUGAGGGACGAAAGCUAGGGGAGCGAAUGGGAUUAGAUACCCCAGUAGUC
rnacentral:rRNA from 1 species